rnacentral:ncRNA from 2 species
AAAUAGAAACGGCGAAUAGGAAGCAGGGUGUAAUUCCCUCACUGUGCCGCAACGGUCAAAGUCCGAUUAUCGGUUA